rnacentral:rRNA from 1 species
GUGCACGCUGGCGGUAGGCCUAACACAUGCCAGUCGAACGGCAGCACAGUAAGAGCUUGCUCUUACGGGUGGCGAGUGGCGGACGGGUGAGGAAUACAUCGGAAUCUACUUUUUCGUGGGGGAUAACGUAGGGAAACUUACGCUAAUAACGCAUACGACCUACGGGUGAAAGCAGGGGAUCUUCGGACCUUGCGCGAUUGAAUGAGCCGAUGUCGGAUUAGCUAGUUGGCGGGGUAAAGGCCCACCAAGGCGACGAUCCGUAGCUGGUCUGAGAGGAUGAUCAGCCACACUGGAACUGAGACACGGUCCAGACUCCUACGGGAGGCAGCAGUGGGGAAUAUUGGACAAUGGGCGCAAGCCUGAUCCAGCCAUACCGCGUGGGUGAAGAAGGCCUUCGGGUUGUAAAGCCCUUUUGUUGGGAAAGAAAAGCAGCAGGUUAAUACCCCGCUGUUCUGACGGUACCCAAAGAAUAAGCACCGGCUAACUUCGUG